rnacentral:rRNA from 1 species
GAUGAACGCUGGCGGCGUGCCUAAUACAUGCAAGUCGAGCGAACAGAUGAGGAGCUUGCUCCUCUGACGUUAGCGGCGGACGGGUGAGUAACACGUGGAUAACCUACCUAUAAGACUGGGAUAACUUCGGGAAACCGGAGCUAAUACCGGAUAAUAUAUUGAACCGCAUGGUUCAAUAGUGAAAGACGGUUUUGCUGUCACUUAUAGAUGGAUCCGCGCCGCAUUAGCUAGUUGGUAAGGUAACGGCUUACCAAGGCAACGAUGCGUAGCCGACCUGAGGGGACGACCGGGCACACUGGGACGGAGACACGGACCAGGGUCCUACGGGCGGAAGCAGCGGGGAAUCUUGGACAAUGGACGCAAGCCUGACCAAGCAAUGCCGCGUGAGGGAAGAAGGACUGUGGGUGGUAAAACGCUUUUGGCAGGAACGAAACAGUGGGCGGUAAUACCUGGCGCUAAGGAAGGUACCGGCAGAAUAGGCAAGGGCGAACUAGGUG